rnacentral:rRNA from 1 species
AUGGCGAUGGUGUUAGAUGCUUUUGCAUCCUACCUAGGGCACAUGCUCACGCAUGUAGCAGCAAAUAAGGCAGGGACGAUGCUGGGCGUCUCCGGUGAGAUCGACAAGAUGGGCAGCAAGCUUCUGGACCUCAAGAACUUCUUGGCUGAUGCCGAUCAGAGGAACAUCACCGACACAACCGUCCAAGAGUGGGUCGGGCAGCUAAAGCGUGCCAUGUAUGAAGCUACUGACAUCCUCGAUCUGUGCCAGCUGAAGGCCAUGGAGCGUGGACCUUCCGCCGUAAAUGCAGGGUGCUUCAAUCCCUUGCUCUUCUGCAUGCGGAAUCCCAUCCUUGCUCAUGAGAUCGGCAUCCGCAUCAAGGCGCUCAAUAGGAGGCUUGACUCCAUCAAGGAACGAGGCGCUUCAUUCAACUUCAUCAAUCUCAGGUACUAUGAGGAUCAUAGCAGCAAUGCCCACUCCUCUCUCCAUGGUAAUCCAAACCGGGAGACGGCUGGGGACUUUGACCGGGCAGCUAUGGUUGGGGAGAAGAUUGAAGAAGACGCACGAGCACUGGUUGUUCAGAUCAUGCAGACUAGAAAGGAGGUCAACAAUGACAUCAGGGUGGUCGCCAUCGUAGGUGUCGGCGGUAUUGGCAAGACAACCCUUGCCCAGAAGGUCUUCAAUGAUGAUGCAAUUCAAGGUGAGUUCAGUAAAAGGAUAUGGUUGAGCAUCAACCAAAACUUUACUGAGGUUGAGCUGCUGAGAAGAGCAAUUAUUGAAGCCGAAGGAGACUCCCAGUCGGCUGGAAAUGCAAAGGCCACUCUUCACCAAAAUCUCAAGGAUUCCAUUAUUGGUCACAAGACCUUACUGGUAAUGGAUGAUGUGUGGGACCAUGGAGCAUGGGAGGGUGUGCUCAGAAUACCCUUUAUCAAUGCUGCUGCUUCAGGCAGCCGAGUCCUCAUCACCACGAGAGAUGAAGGUGUCGCUCGAGGGAUGGCAGCAAGAUGGCCCUACCACCACAUUGACACAUUAUUGCUUGAAGAUGCCUGGUCAUUGCUCAAGAAGCAGGUACUCUCAAGUGAGAUAGAUGAAGAUCACAUCAAUACGCUGAAGGAUGUUGGAUUGAAAAUUAUACAAAAAUGUGGUGGCUUACCACUCGCCAUCAAAGUAAUGGGAGGGCUCUUGCGUGAAAGAGGGGGACUACGUCGUGAUUGGGAGCAUGUUCUGGAUGAUUCGAAAUGGUCAAUAACUAAAAUGCCCCAAGAGCUCAACUAUGCAGUAUACUUGAGCUAUGAAUAUAUGCCUUCUUACCUGAAGCAGUGCUUUUUAUUCUACUCUAUUCUUCCUAAAAGUAAAUUUUUUACUCUGAAUCAAGUCGUCGCAAUGUGGAUAAGUGAAGGAUUUAUUCAUGGAAACUCCAGUGAUUUGGAAGAAUUGGGAAGAAGUUACUACAAGGAGUUGGUAUCUAGGAACCUUAUAGAGCCAGAUAAAUCGUAUAUUGGUUUAAUGGUUUGCAGCAUGCAUGAUGUUGUUCGCUCAUUUGCUCAGUAUAUGACUAAAGAUGAAGCACUCGUAGCUCAUGACGGGGAGAAUGAUAUUCUUACUGGACUUAGUUCACAAAAGUUUCUUCGGCUGUCCAUAGAAGCCAACCAAUCACAAUCAGGUGAACUUGACUGGAAAUCUCUACGAGCGCAACAAUCAGUGAGAACAUUAAUCUUAACUAUCCAGAUCAAGAUGAAUCCUGGUGAUUCACUGGUUACCUUUUCUAGUUUGCGGAUUCUAUAUAUACACUCUGUAGGUGUGGCUGCAUUGGUUGAAUCGUUGCAUCAACUCAAGCACCUGAGGUAUCUGGCACUAUUAAACACUGACAUAUCUGUUCUUCCAGAGAACAUUGGCAAGAUGAAGCUAUUGCAAUAUUUUGACCUUAUUGGAUGUAAAAAUUUGGUGAAUCUUCCAAAUAGCAUUGUGAAGCUUAGCCAGCUGAGGUUACUUAUUCUUCCCACGUCAAGUAUUGUACCUAGAGGGUUCAGCGGUCUGACAAAUAUGAGGAGACUAAGCGGGUUUCGAGCCCACAUGGAUAGCGAUUCAUGCAACUUGGAUGAGUUGGGGCCUCUUUCCCAACUCAGAUUUCUUACUUUACAUGAAUUGGAGAAUGUGUCGGCUGCCCUGUUUGCUGCUAAUGCUAAGCUUGGUGAGAAAAAACAUCUUAUUGACAUAGCCUUGAACUGCACAAGCAAACUAGGAAAUGAUGGGUUGGUCGAAGAGAAAGAAGGUGUUUCUGAGGAAGAGCAGCGACGAAUUGUGAAUGUGUUCAAUGAGCUCUGCCCUCCGCCUAGUGUUGAAAAUCUGGAAAUUGAGGGCUAUUUUGGACAGAAACUCCCUAGUUGGAUUAUGUCGACUUCAACAGUGCUGCUCGGCAACUUGAGGACUCUACUGUUUGCUGACUUGGCCUGUUGCACACAACUUCCCAAUGGGUUGUGCCAGCUCCCCAAUCUGCAGUUGCUACAGGUCCGUCGUGCUCCAUGCAUCAAGCGUGUUGGAACUAGAUUCUUGCAGGCGGCGGCAACUCCAUUUCCAAGGUUAAACAAAUUGACCUUAGGAGGAAUGGUGCAAUGGGAGGAGUGGGAGUGGGAGGAGCAAGUACAAGCCAUGCCCCGUUUGGAGAAGCUUACACUCAUUACUUGCAAACUGAUGCGUGUACCUCCUGGCCUUGCCUCCAAUGCAAGGGCUUUGAAAGUAUUAUCUUUCAACAAUGUCCAACAACUUUGCUGCCUUGAGAACUUUCCUUUUGUUGUAGAGCUUACAGUGUCUGGAAGCUCCGACCUGGAGAGGAUCACCGAUCUCCCUAAUAUGCAGAAACUUAUCAUCUCCAGUUGCCCAAAGUUGAAGGUGUUGGAGCGCAUCCCUAAACUCGAGAGGCUAGUCCUUGAGGAUUAUAUCAUGGAACAACUCCCAGGUUACAUGCAAGAUAUCAAUCCACGACAUUUGUUGUUACAUUGCAGAAUAUGGUUGCUAUCUGCAUUAGCCGUGGGACAAUCUGGUCUCGAGUGGGACAAGUUCAGCCAUGUGGAGCAUGUCAAGGCAUAUGCACGUGACAGAGACAACCAAAGGAAAUGGUACUUGUUUUACACAAGAAGAGACAACUUCAAGUUGGAUUCAAAUACCAGCUGCUAUACCAUAUUUGAAGAAACACUAUCAUCUUGUAUGGUGGACGCACAAGGAUUUGAGACUGUGUACAAAAUGAGAAGAAGUACCUUUAAUCACGUCUGCAGGUUGGUGAGGGUGUCAUUUUUUGAAGAUAUGAUGACAAGGGGUCACACUUUCACCUUUGUUGAUGGGAGAGUGUUGUGUUUACAAGAUUGUGUAGCUGUCGCUUUGAGAAUGUUGAACUCUGGUGAGCCACAGGAGGUCAUAGGAUCCUCAGUUGGUGUGAACGAGUCAACUGUCUCGCUUGUUACUCAGAUGUUUGUUGACGCUAUGUGGAAGCAAGAAAUCCACAACGUACUCUGGCCGCGCUAUGCUGAGAUGGAAAAGAUCAAGCACAAGUUUGACAAGAUCCACGGCCUGCCCAACUGCUGCGGUGUUGUACAUACAGCUCACAUCACAUUUGGAUCGCUAAACCAUGAACCUGGUGAUGGGGAGUAUGACGACAUGCUAAUGCUAGUCGUUGAUCCAGAUAUGAGGUUCAUAGACACUGACCUUGGAUCACAGAACCAAUUGAGCGUUUUGCACGACUCGUGGCUGUUUAAGUCCUGCCAGGAGGGUACUACGCUGAAUGGCAGUAAGCUGAAGGUAUCAGAUUGUCUGGAUGUUGGGGAAUACAUCAUUGGUGAUGCAGGAUACCCUCUUCUCCCCUGGCUCCUCACACCUUACCCGCUGGAAGACAAGGACCUCUCUGCAGAUUUCCCUUUAUAUCAAGCCGAGUUCAACAGGAGACACUCUGCAGCAUCAACCCUGGCGCUGGUUGCGGUGGCGAGGUUGAAAGACACUUGGAAAAUCCUGGACAGAGCUGUCAGUUCAGGCCCGAAUCUUAGACCAACCUAUGUGUGUUGCAUGUUGCAUAAUAUAGUUAUAGAUAUGGAAAAAGCGGAGCAGGGGGUGGAGGAGGGUGUAGGCAUGGAGGAGAAGGUGCGGCAGUUAGCGGACGAGGACGCCGCAAGGACGAGGGACGUGCUGGCCAAGCACUUGAUUGAAUCUAGAGAGGAGGAAAAAGAAGCAGCAGUAGUAGUUGCAUCCAGUUCAGGAGAUCAAAACAAGGGAUAG